rnacentral:tRNA from 1 species
AGUUAAAGAGCUACAAGCACAGCCUAAUGUCUUGAAAACAUUAUGAAAGAAGUUUAAAUCUUCUAUUAACUU